UACAGAGGGGGCGAGCGUUAUUCGGAAUUAUUGGGCGUAAAGGGCGCGUAGGCGGCUUUGCAAGUGACGGGUGAAAUCCCUCGGCUUAACCGAGGCAGGUCGUCGGAUACUGCGUAACUGGAGGACGGUAGAGGCGUGUGGAAUUCCGGGUGUAGUGGUGAAAUGCGUAGAGAUCCGGAGGAACACCAGUGGCGAAGGCGACACGCUGGGCCGUACCUGACACUGAUGCGCGACAGCAUGGGGAGCAAACAGG
rnacentral:rRNA from 1 species